rnacentral:rRNA from 1 species
UACGUAGGGCGCAAGCGUUGUCCGGAAUUAUUGGGCGUAAAGAGCUCGUAGGCGGUUUGUCGCGUCUGCUGUGAAAACUCGAGGCUCAACCUCGGGCUUGCAGUGGGUACGGGCAGACUAGAGUGCGGUAGGGGAGACUGGAAUUCCGUGGUGUAGCGGUGGAAUGCGCAGAUAUCAGGAAGAACACCCGUGGCGAAGGCGGCUCUCUGGGGACGGUAC